rnacentral:misc_RNA from 1 species
AGAUUGAAAUUAGCAGUCCUCUUGCCCGGGAUCGGUCCACUAAUUACACUAGUAGACCAAUUCGAGAUCGGCACAAUCAGCACAAUCUCCCGCUUAAAUUUUUAAACAAAAUACACUAAGAGAUCGGGGGAGAGUCCUUACCGAAAUUCUCUUAGCUUAAAUCCAAAUUAAAAUAUCAAAACUCCAAAUAUGCGAAUUAACCCUCAACAAGAAUCUGUUACGUUGCAUCUAAUCACUAAAGGGUCAUCUCAUGUACUCGUGU